UAGCCCAUUAAUAAGAUUUCUCCUUUUUCUCUCCAUCUCCACAGUCGACGGUUUCCCUCGUCUUCUGUAGUUUUCUCUUUUGCUCCGAUGGAGGUUUCUCAAUCCAAAUCAAUUCUACAUUUUCAACAUGGCAUCAGAGCGUAAAAUCCGUUGCCUCUAUCUCCUCUAUCCCUUUUUUAAUUUUUCGUUUGCCUUUUUUUCAUAGAGCUAGGGUUUGUGAUUUCGUGAGAAUUUUAUGCUGAUUGUUCCGGGAGAGUUCUUCAGGCCGGAUAUGAUGUUCUUGUUUCCUGCCGUAGUUCUUCCACAAAGUCUGUCAGUUUUUUUUUUCUCUCUUCGGCGGUUCUCUUUUUCGUCGAUCUACAUUUUUUUGUUCUUCUCACUGAAAUUGUUAUGUGUUCACCAAUUGAUCGGAUUCAUGUUUGGUUUAGUAUGCUGAAGUAUGGAGUUGUAUGCUCCGAUUUCACAAUUAUAACCUGUUUUUGAAUCUGAGGUAUCAGUUUUGUUUCCGAUCUGUGAAUCGAUUGUAUUAUGCCCGAUUAUAUCAGUUGAUUCCGUUGAAUUCGGUUUUUUGUUGUUGAAUCUGAAUAUGUUUUCAGAUUUAUCUCUGGUUUUCCGAUUGUAUGUCGGAUGUUUGUUUGUUGUUCACCGAUUGUUCGGUUGGAUCUAUUUCAAGCCUGGUUUGAGGUUGAGAGUUGUGGACUGCCGGCUGGAGCCAUUUGUAUGUGGACUUGUGAAUUGGGGGAUUAGAAGUUGUUGUAUGGUUUGUGUGGUGAUCUUGGAUGUACUUGAUGCUAGUGAAUGUUUUGAGGCAUCAAGGUUUUACCAUAAUUCCAGCAGCAAUUGAAGUUACUGGAGGAGCUGAUGUUCAAUUUGGUGAAGAAGAAUCUGUGAAGCUUACUCAUACUCCUCCGUGUCUGGUGCUAAGGGGGAGUGAGAUCAUUUUAUUUUUUCUGCAUUUGGUGGAGUGGAGAUUUUUAUGUUGCAUCUGUAGUUGUUGCAGCAACUCCAAUUCCAGCAAAGUGAUGGUUUGCAAUUGAUCAAGUUGGAUCUUCCCUUGACAUGGAGUUAGAAUAAAUCUUAGUUGCUUUAGUUCUCUUCUUAGUUUGAUGCUUCCUUUCCAAGAUGGUAGCAUUUGUUUUGCUUCCAUCUUGAAGGUUGAAGGGGAGUGUUGAAAUUAAAAAUAAAAAUGUAAUUAGUUGAUAUUGUUUUCCUUUAUUAGUUAGUGUUUAGUAUUUUAUUUGUUUGUAUUUGUGCCUAUAUAUAAGGCCUUCUUUGUAUUUUGCAAUGAACACUUAGCAAAAAUGUAGCCCAUUAAUAAAAUUUCUCAUUUUUCUCUCCA